GCCCGCGGCGCAUUAGCUAGUUGGUGAGGUAAGGGCUCACCAAGGCGACGAUGCGUAGCCGACCUGAGAGGGUGAUCGGCCACACUGGAACUGAGACACGGUCCAGACUCCUACGGGAGGCAGCAGUGGGGAAUAUUGCACAAUGGGCGAAAGCCUGAUGCAGCAACGCCGCGUGAGCGAUGAAGGCCUUCGGGUCGUAAAGCUCUGUCUUUGGGGACGAUAAUGACGGUACCCAAGGAGGAAGCCACGGCUAACUAC
rnacentral:rRNA from 1 species